AAUACACUUGCUGGGUCAUAUGGUAAGCAUAUGUCUGGUUUUUUUUUUAUUUUAAAGAAAUUACCAAACUGUUUUUAGAGUGGCUGUACCGUUUUAUUUUCCCACUAACAGU
rnacentral:pre_miRNA from 1 species